GUUUCCAAUUGAAAAUGAAAUUUCGAGUUUUCUCAGCAAACUGGAUAAAAAAAUUGCGUAAAUAAUUCCGAAUUAACCAAAUCAAGCACAGAUAAAGAACUCAGUGCUCAGUGACUGCUGAUCUUCCAUUUCUCACUUGUCCGGCAUCCAACUGUGUUGUUGUCUCCGUCGUUCAAAAAUAUAAGCAGUUUAGUUUGCCAAGCAAGAAUGAAUAAAGGUGGAGUAGGAAGUGGGAGUGCUGGAGGAGCGGGAAGUGGGCCGACAGCGGCGGCAGCAACAGCAGCUGCACAAAAGCAGAAAUCUUUGAUGCAGAGAGUGGAAACAGAUAUUGCAAACAUUGUUGACAAUUUCACUCACCUUGUCAAUGUCGCCGGGGGGCAGUGAUCUCCUUUGAUUGCUAUCGAUUGAAUCCCAGACAUUGCUGCAAGUCUAGAAACAAAUAAAUAGCUGCAACGAAGGUCCUGGGCUUUGUAAACAAAAUGGAUCUUAGAUUAGAGCUUAAAGGUGAAUGAGCUACCAGUUAGAAAUUCACAAGAAGCUUUUAUGAUGGAAAUGCAUGCUGCCAGAAUGGUUUGGACCCGACCCGUUUGUUUGUCACGCUAAGCAGGGAAGUGCUAGAAGUUGUAUUUAUCCCAUAUUGCUUAGUUAUUAGGCUGUUAUGGUGUAUAUAUGUGGAUUGGACACCAUCUUCUUUUGAGCUAAUUUUUAGAGAGUUCUAUCCAAGCCCAUUUGUCAUGGUAUCAGAGGUGGAAGGGUGUUAGAAGUUGUAUUUAUUCUAUAUCGCUUAGUUAUUGGGUUGUUAUAGUAUACAUAUAUGGAUUGGAUUAGAAGUUGUAUUUAUUCUAUAUCGCUUAGUUAUUGGGUUGUUAUAGUGUACAUAUAUGGAUUGGGCACCCUUUUCCUGCUGUUAAGUUUGGUCUUCACCUAUUUUUGUUGGAUAUCCUUUUGCAACUAUAUAUAGUUGGUCUUGAUUGUUUUUGGUCUUAUUGGUCACUGUUGGACUAAUUGUAAUCUUAGGCUCCGCUGGUUUCAUGGAUAAUAACAUGUUUUUGGAUGGAAGACUUCUUUUAUGCAUAUUUUGUGUGAUUGAUGAGGAACAUUCCUAUUUUGAUUAAAUAUUGUGUAUUCACAAUCUACAUGUUUUAAUUGAUCGGGGUGUAAUUGACUUUCUUCUUAUCCUCUGCAACAUUAUAGUACCCGAGUUAUAAAUAUUUAAGUUCUUUGGAUAGCUUUUGCAUUUGGACAUUAUAUUUUUUUUCUGGUUCGGCUUUGUAGUUUAGGCAUUUGACAAUUUGCUUAACAGAAUAGUGCAGAUGAUUGGGAAGAAUAGAAAUAAGUGAGAGUUAGAAGGCUUGAAAAAUAAUGGGUCCCACACAGCCUUGUUGGACCAAUAAAAUUGCCACACAGGUCUAUUAUUGUUUGAGUUAACAGCCAACAUUAACGUGGGUAAAAGCACUUUUCAAAGAGUUUGAGGUUUUUUUGUCCCAAAAAAACAUGAAGUUCCAAUAUGACAAAAUAAGUAAACAUUAGGGUCAUAUCUAUACCGUUUCCCAUUAGAUUGCAGGGUGAAGACGAGCCUUCUUGAAUAGUUCUAUUUAGUGUAUUCAUGAGCCAAAUAUUAAAUACUUGAUAGAGUGAUUUGGUCAAUUAUUUCUUAAAGUUUUUCUGA